GAUGAACGCUGGCGGCGUGCCUAAUACAUGCAAGUCGAGCGAACGGACGAGAAGCUUGCUUCUCUGAUGUUAGCGGCGGACGGGUGAGUAACACGUGGAUAACCUACCUAUAAGACUGGGAUAACUUCGGGAAACCGGAGCUAAUACCGGAUAAUAUUUUGAACCGCAUGGUUCAAAAGUGAAAGACGGUCUUGCUGUCACUUAUAGAUGGAUCCGCGCUGCAUUAGCUAGUUGGUAAGGUAACGGCUUACCAAGGCAACGAUGCAUAGCCGACCUGAGAGGGUGAUCGGCCACACUGGAACUGAGACACGGUCCAGACUCCUACGGGAGGCAGCAGUAGGGAAUCUUCCGCAAUGGGCGAAAGCCUGACGGAGCAACGCCGCGUGAGUGAUGAAGGUCUUCGGAUCGUAAAACUCUGUUAUUAGGGAAGAACAUAUGUGUAAGUAACUGUGCACAUCUUGACGGUACCUAAUCAGAAAGCCACGGCUAACUACGUGCCAGCAGCCGCGGUAAUACGUAGGUGGCAAGCGUUAUCCGGAAUUAUUGGGCGUAAAGCGCGCGUAGGCGGUUUUUUAAGUCUGAUGUGAAAGCCCACGGCUCAACCGUGGAGGGUCAUUGGAAACUGGAAAACUUGAGUGCAGAAGAGGAAAGUGGAAUUCCAUGUGUAGCGGUGAAAUGCGCAGAGAUAUGGAGGAACACCAGUGGCGAAGGCGACUUUCUGGUCUGUAACUGACGCUGAUGUGCGAAAGCGUGGGGAUCAAACAGGAUUAGAUACCCUGGUAGUCCACGCCGUAAACGAUGAGUGCUAAGUGUUAGGGGGUUUCCGCCCCUUAGUGCUGCAGCUAACGCAUUAAGCACUCCGCCUGGGGAGUACGACCGCAAGGUUGAAACUCAAAGGAAUUGACGGGGACCCGCACAAGCGGUGGAGCAUGUGGUUUAAUUCGAAGCAACGCGAAGAACCUUACCAAAUCUUGACAUCCUUUGACAACUCUAGAGAUAGAGCCUUCCCCUUCGGGGGACAAAGUGACAGGUGGUGCAUGGUUGUCGUCAGCUCGUGUCGUGAGAUGUUGGGUUAAGUCCCGCAACGAGCGCAACCCUUAAGCUUAGUUGCCAUCAUUAAGUUGGGCACUCUAAGUUGACUGCCGGUGACAAACCGGAGGAAGGUGGGGAUGACGUCAAAUCAUCAUGCCCCUUAUGAUUUGGGCUACACACGUGCUACAAUGGACGAUACAAAGGGCAGCGAAACCGCGAGGUCAAGCAAAUCCCAUAAAGUUGUUCUCAGUUCGGAUUGUAGUCUGCAACUCGACUACAUGAAGCUGGAACCGCUAGUAAUCGUAGAUCAGCAUGCUACGGUGAAUACGUUCCCGGGUCU
rnacentral:rRNA from 1 species